CAAACAGCUGAGACGUCAACGUGCAAGUUUUCAAGCUGUAAAAUCGAAAGAAACUAACGUCUGCAAGCAGCAAAACAUGUCAAAGAAAGCGCCAAGAGCAACUUUGAAGCUCCACAUGAAGAAGAAAUCGGAUGUACGUAUAGGAAAAAACGCGGACUUGAUGGCCCAGCUGAAUCUUCUAGUUUUCCUACAUCGCCUGGCUGAGGAGUCCAGGGUCAAAGCCUUUGAGGAGAAAACAGCAACCAUCAAAGUUCACCAUGUCAGUGCUGUCGCCAAGAAACUGUUAAAGAGCACACGUGGAUAAUGUGGAAGACAGGAGCUCCCAUCACAUCAUUUUGUUUUUUCCAACAACUCUGAUCCUGUGACCAAUAACAAUUAUAAACCAUGGACUCUCUAAGAUUUUUCUUGUCUUGUUUUGUGUGUAUGAUGAAAUUUAUGUCGUCAUGUCUCCUAAAAUGCUGGGCCUUCCUUACAAGCACUAUUUGGAUGUAAUCGAUGUUCAGUUCCUUUCCAUGACUUGAACUUUUGCUUUUUAAUGGUAUUUGGAAAGUAAACCUUGGAUGAUGGACUGUAUCAUGCCCUGAUAUCUAUAGCAUCACAUGUGUCCCACAUCUCUUUAGGUUAUAUUAUUACUUUAUACCUGCUAAUAAACUAUGUGUACCACUUAACUUGGGUAACACAUGGUUGAGUAACCGUGCAGUGUUUCUUUCCUCACUCUUUAAAACAACUAGAAAUUUGGCCGACUGCCACUGACAGCAGAGGGACUAUUAUCUGUGGCUAAUCACCAAAGAAGGUUUUUAGCAGGAAAGUUCACACAGAUGAUUUUUCGUUCUCCUGUGUUGACUAACAGAGCUCUUAGAGCUCUCGUAAGGAGUGAGAUCAUUUUCAUUUACAAUUAUUAAUUUAAUCAUUAAUAUCUAACCUACCCACAAAAAUAAAGUACUUUGGCAAAUCACAUUAAACCAGUCAAGAGCAUGAUCAGGUCAUAUUUCACCGCAAUAUAAAUAUCUUCCAUAAAGAAAAUUAAGCCUGUUAUUUAGUUUGCUCGAAACAGAAUCUCGAGACGUGCUUUUCUACGUUUCCAACAACGUUGAUUGACAGUCCCAAACUCACGGCAUUGGUUGAGUCAAAGUUGCAGUGGUGGUGGUCGGGAUGCUCAAACAAACAGAGCAAUAUUUUUAUAGUGCCACAGAGAGAUCGUGUUUACAGUUUUCAUGGAUCAACCUAUGAAUGCCCAGAGGCCAAAGUUUUCCGCAUACUGGUUCAUCUUGCACACAUUGCACAAUAAAACAAUACAUUUCGUCAUACACACUGUCACGCAUACUGUCUGUAUUCAGCCCAAUUUUCUAUGCAUGUCAUCUGCGCAUAUGUCUUCUGUUAACUGUACUAAAGAGUGUCACAAAGCAGUAAUAGUGCACAUACGUCGAACACAUCCGUAUGGAGUCGCAGUAAAAAAAAAGGAUACUUUGAAAGGCUAAGCACUUGACUGUGCAUAAGACAACAUGCAUAAAAAUAAAGUAUAACCUAGCCUUUUCUUUUAGUUGACACGGUAUAUUAUGCUGGGAUAAGAGAAAGUGUUUCAAUAUUAAAGUUGCACACUCCAGCUUUAGUGUCUACAGUGCUUAUUUCUGUUUAGUAGAAUCAAUCAUUGAACAAUUGUUGCAAAUAAAAUGGAAAAACGAAUAUACAUUUAUGAAUUUACAUCUUUUAACUGCUCUGUCAGAUGAGGUUAGUCAGAGUUUUAUUCUUUCAAUCAACAAUUACAUGCUCAUGACGGUAUGAUUCAUUGUCAGCAAACAAUACUACAUUCAAGAAGGAUUUUCAUGUUUCAAACACCCGGUUUCAUCCAAAUGGACCCUACACUUGAAAAUCAGUUCUAUUUCUGCAUAAGAACCGUGCUUCUUACAUUGUUGGGGUAGGACCAAGGGGCUUGACCUCAUGACCACAGACAAGUAAAUGUUUGGGUGUCACUUAGCUUGUAUAUUUACGAGUGCAUCCCACUGAUGAUCACAUUACCUGGGAGUCACCCUACUCUUAUCCAACUGUCAGAAUUAAUUGA